rnacentral:lncRNA from 1 species
CAAAAUGAGGGCUGGACUGAGGUAUGGAAGGAUCCCGCGCGCUGGCUGCAACAGAGCCGGCAGGUAAAAGCAGUAUCUGGAUCCUGGGUGAUGCGACAGGAAGGGGAUGUGGUGUGGAUCCCGCUACCCUGGGAGACCAGACCUACAAUAAAAAAAUAAAUAAAUAAAUUAAUUAAAAAAAAAAACGAGGGAGGGACGCAAAGCCAGGACUGGAGCGUAGGUAGGAUGGGAUGAGAACAGCCCCCCUCCCCCAAACAGAAGAGAGAGCCUUGGCAACCGGACAGGGUCCUGGAGCUGACCAGGCUGCAGGAGCGGAGGAGAGGGCUGCAACCAAGGCUUUGCAUAGAUGCUACUGUCUCAUUCUGCAGCAGUCUGGCCUGGAACUACAGAACCCAGGCUGGACUCAAAUUAAUGGCAAUUCUCCUGCCUCAGCCUCCUGAAUUCUAGGACAUCAGGCUCCAAGGGGACAAAUAAUAUAGAUGCCAGCAAAUGGCUUUGCUGUGUGCUCACUGGGGAGUGUGCACAGCACCCACGUGGAAGUCAGAGAAGAGUGCUUGGCAGUGGCGCAGUGGCUCUCUCCUUGGGUCUUCACCUUCUGAAGGGCGUGCUCCAGGAACUUGAACUCAGAACUCAGGAUUGGCAGCAAGUGUUCAGCCAUUUUGAUGACCCCAUUGGUUUUUGGUUUUUUUUUUGUUUUGUUGAGAGAAACGCAUCAAAGAACUUCUCCUGGUAUUCUGGCUGAUGCCGGUCGCUUCUGCUGACUCAGGGAUGUAGCAGACCCUUGCGGCUUCUGCUGGAUUGAGCUGCCACUACUGAUUCAUGUUUGGUGUUUGCUGUUGGACCGGACUGCUGGUAUCCUGACAACAAAGAGAAGAAUCACCCCAAGAAGCUACUUCUAGUCCGGUCCACCCGUUUCCAAUUAACCUUCUUUUUCCACUUUGUCUGGUUGGUAAGUUAGAAGAGCGGUUGAAGAGUUUAAGAACCUUAAAUAAGGGGGCUCAAGAGAUGGCUCAUCAGUUAGGAUUACUGACUGCUCUUCCAGAAAUCCCAGGUUCAAUUCCCAGCAACCACAUGGUAGUUCACAACCAUCUGUACUGGGAUCGGAUGCCCUCUUUUGGUGUUUCUGAAGACACCAACAAUGUACUCACAUAAAAUAGAAUAAAUAAAUCUUAAAACAAA